GUGCCAGCCGCCGCGGUAAUACAGAGGGGGCAAGCGUUAUUCGGAAUUACUGGGCGUAAAGCGCGUGUAGGCGGCUAUGCAAGUCGGAUGUGAAAGCCCGGAGCUCAACUCCGGAACUGCCAUUGAAACUGUUAGACUUGAGGAUGAGAGAGGUGAGUGGAAUUCCCAGUGUAGAGGUGAAAUUCGUAGAUAUUGGGAAGAACACCGGUGGCGAAGGCGACUCACUGGCUCAUUACUGACGCUCAGGCGCGAUAGCGUGGGGAUCAAACAGGAUUAGAAACCCCCGUAGUCC
rnacentral:rRNA from 1 species